rnacentral:lncRNA from 1 species
AGAUGGGAUGGGGUACCUGAGGAGAUUUCACAUGAUGCUCAUUAUAGCUGUACACUAAUGUACACUAAUUAGCUGUACACUAAUGUCUGUACACUAAUGCGCAAAGCAUGGAAAAUAAACAAGAUGAGCUUGAGCUCUUGGUACAGCAAACUAAAUAUGACAUAAUAGGCAUCACUGAAACCUGGUGGGAUAAGUCCCAUGAUUGGAAUGUAAUAAUGGAGGGAUACAAUCUAUUUCAGAGAAACAGACCAGACAAGAAAGGAGGAGGAGGGGCGUUAUAUGUCAGGGAUGUGUAUGCCUGUGAAGAGAUCCAAGAUUUAGAACCUCAAAGCCAAAGUGAGAGCAUUUGGGUCAAAAUUAAGGGAGAGAAGAAUAACAGUGACCUCAUUGUGGGAGUUUACUAUAGAUCCCCAAGCCAAAUGGAGGACAUAGAUGAUGCCUUCCUGGAACAGAUGGCCAAGCAUGCAAAAGGAAGGAAGAUAGUAGUAAUGGGGGACUUCAAUUACCCGGAUAUUUGUUGGAUGUCAAACUCAGCCAAGAGCAUAAGGUCAAACAGAUUCCUCACUGGCCUUGCAGACAACUUCAUUGUCCAGAAAGUGGGAGAAGCAACAAGAGGAACAGCCAUCUGGUCCUAACCAAUGUGGAUGGGGUGGGGUAGAAGUGGAAGGAUCAUUAGGCGCGAGUGAUCAUGCUCUUCUGAAGUUUACUAUACAGCGGAAAGGAGCAGCCAAGCAUACUAGGACUCAAUUUCUUGACUUUAAGAAAGCCGACUUCAUAAAACUUAGGGAAGUGCUGGGUGAGAUCCCAUGGACAGUAAUACUAAAAGGAAAGGGAGUUCAUGAUGGCUGGGAGUUUGUUAAGAGGGAGAUAGUAAAAGCACAACUUCAGGCAAUACCAAUGAGACAGAAACAUGGAAGGUGCCCAAAGAAGCCAGGGUGGCUAUCUAAAGAACUUUUAACUGAGUUAAGAUUAAAAAAGGAUGUGUACAAAAAGUGGAAAAGGGGGGAAACCACCAAAGAGGAAUUCAAACAAAUAGCCAGCACGUGUAGACACAAAGUCAGAAAAGCUAAAGCACAGAAUGAACUCAGGCUUGCUAGAGAGGUUAAAAGCAACAAAAAGGCUUUUAUGGGUAUGUUCGUAGCAAAAGGAAGAACAAAGAAACAGUGGGGUCACUCAGAGGAGAAGAUGGUGAAAUGCAAGCAGGGGACACAGAAAGGGCUGAACUCCUCAAUGCCUUCUUUGCCUCAGUCUUCUCCGAUAAAGAAAACAAUGCCCGACCUGAAGAAUUUGGAGCAAAUGAUUCAGCAGAGGAAACACAGUCCAGAAUAACUAAGGAGAUAGUACAAGAAUACUUGGCUAGUUUAGAUGUCUCCAGGGCCAGAUGAACUGCAUCCAAGAGUAUUAAAAGAACUGGCAGAUGUGAUCUCAGAACCACUGGCAGUCAUCUUUGAGAAUUCCUGGAGAACAGGCGAAGUCCCAGCAGACUGGAGGAGGGCAAAUUUUGUCCCUAUUUUCAAAAAGGGGAAAAGAGAGGACCCAAAUAAUUACCGCCCAAUCAGUCUGACAUCAAUACCAGGGAAGAUUCUGUGUUGUUGUUUUUUAAUGAUAUUUAUUAAAGUUUC